AGAUUGAGAGUAUGGGAUUGUGUGUGUAUGGGCUGAAAAAUAAAAGAGAGAAAGAAGAUGAUGAUUGUGAUUUCCAUCUUAAUUUCCAAUUUCCUAAUCUUGAAGGUUGAAGCAUACAUGUUUUGUGUUCAUGCGGUCUUCUUGAGUUAUGAUUUUGGUUGUCGCGGAGGAGGUAGUUCCGGAAGAAGGAACUAGUUGUUGAUUUAAAGCUUGAAGUAUUAGAAGUAAGGAUUUUGCAAGACUUUGAGGUAUUUAGGUCAUUCAUGGAUGAAUGACAAUCUUGUGGUUUAGAGGCUUAGUCAUCCCUCUCCUUAUGGCUCUUGGUACAUUUUGUUUUGAUGGUCAUUCUAUUGUCAAAUUUCUGUAAAUGGUCAAGUGUGGUUCCAUGAAUUUGCAAAACUUGUAUUUUGACUUAAAAAGCGUC